AUACUACCUGGCAGGGGAGAUACCAUGAUCACAAAGGUGGUUUUCCCAGGGCGAGGCUUAUCCAUUGCACUCCAGAUGUGCUGACCCCUGCAAUUUCCCCAAAUGUGGGAAACUCGACUGCAUAAUUUGUGGUAGUGGGGGACUGCGUUCGCGCUUUCCCCUG
ensembl:snRNA U1 U1 spliceosomal RNA